rfam:Brevibacillus parabrevis strain CN1 contig_29, whole genome shotgun sequence.
UUUUCAUCAAGAGCGGUGGAGGGACAGGCCCUAUGAAACCCGGCAACCAGCAAGCGAGUCUUGCGCGGUGCUAAUUCCUGCAGAAUCCAUAGAUUCUGAGAGAUGAACG